rnacentral:rRNA from 1 species
UGGGGAAUCUUGCGCAAUGCACGAAAGUGUGACGCAGCAACGCCGCGUGCGGGAAGAAGGUCUUCGGAUCGUAAACCGCUUUCAGUUGGGACGAGGGUCAGCAGGUGAAUAGCCUGUCUGACUGACGGUACCUUCAGAAGAAGCCCCGGCUAACUACGUGCCAGCAGCCGCGGUAAUACGUAGGGGGCAAGCGUUAUCCGGAAUCAUUGGGCGUAAAGCGCGUGUAGGCGGUUCACCAAGUCCGCUCUGAAAGCCCAGGGCUCAACCCUGGGAGGCGGGUGGAUACUGGUGGACUAGAGUCCGGAAGAGGAGAUUGGAAUUCCUGGUGUAGCGGUGAAAUGCGCAGAUAUCAGGAGGAACACCAACAGCGAAGGCAGAUCUCUGGGACGUGACUGACGCUGAGACGCGAAAGCGUGGGGAGCAAACA